GCAUGGCUUAGUGGUACAGCGUGUCACUCGUAAUGACAAGAUCCCUCGUUCGAUUCGGGGUGUGGGCA